rnacentral:rRNA from 1 species
GUGAGUCAUCGAGUCUUUGAACGCACCUUGCGCUCCUCGGUGUUCCGAGGAGCAUGCCUGUUUGAGCGUCAGUAAAUUCUCAACUCCUCUCGAUUGACUUCGAGUGGAGCUUGGAUAGUGGGGGCUGCCGGAGACCUGAAUAUUCGUGUUCGGGACUCGGGCUCCUCUGAAAUGUAUUGGCUUGCGGUCUGUUUUCGACUUUGCAUGACAAGGCUUUUGGCGUGAUAAUGAUCGCCGCUCGCCGAAGUGCAUGAAUGAAACCGUGCCGUGCCUCUAAUCCGUCGAUGCCUCUAUGGGGCGUCUUCUUUACGCAUUUGACCUCAAAUCAGGUAGGACUACCCGCUGAACUUAA